rnacentral:lncRNA from 1 species
GAAUACUUUGAGCCUCAUUAAAACUUUGUUUGAGGAAAUUCUCCAAAUGAUAAAGUUGGCCUUUGAGAUUAGAUUGUAUCAGUCCCGUUCUCUUGGAUCUAAUCUAAGGGUUCAGAAAAAACUAGUUAAAAAUUAAGAUAUUAAUUUAACUUAAUCAAAAACCGAAAUUUAAAAAAUAAAUAAUAAAAGUUCACUAUUGGAACAAGAACACGUUCAAAGGAGAAAAUCAUGAACGUGUUCUUCCUCCCAUUGCCACCACAGCAUCUUCG